UACAGAGGGGGCAAGCGUUGUUCGGAAUUACUGGGCGUAAAGGGUUUGUAGGUGGCUUGUUAAGUCAGACGUGAAAUCCCUCAGCUUAACUGGGGAACUGCGUCUGAUACUGGCGAGCUUGAGUGCAGGAGAGGAACGCGGAAUUCCAGGUGUAGCGGUGAAAUGCGUAGAUAUCUGGAGGAACACCGGUGGCGAAGGCGGCGUUCUGGACUGCAACUGACACUGAGAAAACGAAAGCCAGGGUAGCAAACGGGG
rnacentral:rRNA from 1 species